rnacentral:rRNA from 1 species
CCUACGGGAGGCAGCAGUGAGGAAUAUUGGUCAAUGGACGAGAGUCUGAACCAGCCAAGUAGCGUGAAGGAUGACUGCCCUAUGGGUUGUAAACUUCUUUUAUAUGGGAAUAAACUGUUCCACGUGUGGGAUUUUGUAUGUACCAUAUGAAUAAGGAUCGGCUAACUCCGUGCCAGCAGCCGCGGUAAUACGGAGGAUCCGAGCGUUAUCCGGAUUUAUUGGGUUUAAAGGGAGCGUAGGUGGAUGGUUAAGUCAGUUGUGAAAGUUUGCGGCUCAACCGUAGAAUUGCAGUUGAAACUGGCAGUCUUGAGUACAGUAGAGGUGGGCGGAAUUCGUGGUGUAGCGGUGAAAUGCUUAGAUAUCACGAAGAACUCCGAUUGCGAAGGCAGUUCACUGGACUGCAACUGACACUGAGGCUCGAAAGUGUGGGUAUCAAACAGGAUUAGAUACCCGUGUAGUC